rnacentral:rRNA from 1 species
AGAGCGAACGCUGGCGGCAGGCCUAACACAUGCAAGUCGAGCGCCCGUAGCAAUACGGGAGCGGCAGACGGGAUAGUAACACGUGGGAACGCGCCCUUCGGUUCGGAAUAACUCAGGGAAACUUGAGCUAAUACCGAAUACGCCCUUACGGGGAAAGAUUUAUUGCCGAAGGAACGGCCCGCGUCCGAUUAGCUAGUUGGUGAGGUAAUGGCUCACCAAGGCUACGAUCGGUAGCUGGUCUGAGAGGAUGACCAGCAUCACUGGGACUGAGACACGGCCCAGACUCCUACGGGAGGCAGCAGUGGGGAAUAUUGGACAAUGGGCGCAAGCCUGAUCCAGCCAUGCCGCGUGGACGAUGAAGGCCUUAGGGUUGUAAAGUCUUUUUAACGGGGAAGAUAAUGACGGUACCCGUAGAAUAAGCCCCGGCUAACUUCGUGCCAGCAGCCGC